AGCAGAUGGCAUCCAUACACUUUGGGAUCCCUGCUUCACACUUCCCACUGCAGCAACGCAACAUUUUCCUUUCAUUGGAGGAGCCCGAGUCUCUCACACGAGAAUAUCUCCCAAACUGUUUCUCCGCAUACCUCUGCUGAAAAAGGAUUACCUGGCAAACUGAGCAGAGAAAAGGUGCACAUGAAGAUCUGAGAUGUUCCUUCCUUCAGUGCUACAGCUAAUAAAGAUGCAGCAGAGAGCAACAUGUUAGAAAAGCUGAGUUUGAACUUCCUGCUGAUGGUGGUGCUGUAGGAGUGUUACAGCUUUAUGGUAGUUCCUGAAUUUUGGGAGGGGGAUGGACACACUGGAUAUAGAUGCUGAACUCCCCUACGAGAUCCAAGGGAACAAGUGUCUGCCACUGUUGAGAGAGUCAGUCACACAAAUAAAAGUGAGCUGAUUGCAGAUAGGUUUACCAAGAGACUUUGAAAGACAGUAUCAGCAAUAAAUCUGAAUCUAAACAA